rnacentral:rRNA from 1 species
GACGAACCACACAAACGUUAUUCGGAAUUACUGGGCUUAAAGGGUGCGUAGGCGGCCUGGCAAGUUGGGUGUGAAAUACCUCGGCUUAACCGAGGAAUGGCGCUCAAAACUGCCGGGCUUGAGGGAGAUAGAGGUGAGCGGAACUUAAGGUGGAGCGGUGAAAUGCGUUGAUAUCUUAAGGAACACCCGUGGCGAAAGCGGCUCACUGGAUCUCUUCUGACGCUCAGGCACGAAAGCCAGGGGAGACGGAACGGG